rnacentral:rRNA from 1 species
UACGGAGGGUGCAAGCGUUAAUCGGAAUUACUGGGCGUAAAGCGCACGUAGGCUGCUUUGUAAGUCAGGGGUGAAAUCCCACGGCUCAACCGUGGAACUGCCUUUGAUACUGCUUAGCUUGAAUCCGGGAGAGGGUGGCGGAAUUCCAGGUGUAGGAGUGAGAUCCGUAGAUAUCUGGAGGAACAUCAGUGGCGAAGGCGGCCGCCUGGACCGGUAUUGACGCUGAGGUGCGAAAGCGUGGGGAGCAAAC